AGAUUGAACGCUGGCGGCAUGCCUUACACAUGCAAGUCGAACGGUAACGCGGGGCAACCUGGCGACGAGUGGCGAACGGGUGAGUAAUGCAUCGGAACGUGCCCAGUAGUGGGGGAUAGCCCGGCGAAAGCCGGAUUAAUACCGCAUACGACCUACGGGUGAAAGCGGGGGACUCGCAAGAGCCUCGCGCUAUUGGAGCGGCCGAUGUCAGAUUAGCUAGUUGGUGGGGUAAAAGCCUACCAAGGCGACGAUCUGUAGCUGGUCUGAGAGGACGACCAGCCACACUGGGACUGAGACACGGCCCAGACUCCUACGGGAGGCAGCAGUGGGGAAUUUUGGACAAUGGGCGCAAGCCUGAUCCAGCCAUGCCGCGUGCGGGAAGAAGGCCUUCGGGUUGUAAACCGCGUUUUGUCUAGGAAGAAACGACUCUGGCGUAAUACCCUGGGUAAUGGUACGGUACCUACGAAGAAUAAAGACACCGGACGUAACUAACGU
rnacentral:rRNA from 1 species